rnacentral:tRNA from 1 species
AAGGAUUUAAGUUAAAUAAACUAUUAACCUUCAAAGUUGAAAAUAUAUUCCAAAUUUAAACCUUA